CAGGCGCACCCAGGAGAAUUGGCCUGCCAGCGACCACGGAGGUGAGGCGGUGGCAGCCUGGCCACCGUGGUUGUGGCAGGCCCAGCCACAGAGGCGAGGCAGCAGUGGGCCACUGAACGCUCCAGUGCUCCACUGACCAUCCGUGUAACCGUUGCCAUUGAAGAUGGUGAAGCAGCCAAGUGCUUCGUUGCACAACUCAGUUUCACGUCCUUCUCCAUCAUGGAAACCAACCAAGCAAAUGGAGGCAAAACUGGUGGUUGUGGUGUUAGCUGGAGGUACCAGGAAAUCAAGGAACUGCAAGAUCAACUGUGUAGCUGCCACCACAAUCUAGAUACAUUUAAGUAUGUUGCAAAGAAGAUGCGUGAGCAGGGUUAUCGUUGCACCGCCAUCGAGUGCCACUCAAAGACUAAAUCCAUGAGGCUGGAGUACAAGAAAGUGAUCUGCCGCAAUUCCAGAUCCAGGCAUGGCCAAAAGACAUGUCAGUUCUACAAAGAACUCGACAGGAUUCUUGGUGGUGAUGCUAGUGUGAAGCCAAGGCCUGUAUCCCGGAGCCUUGCUUUCUAAAUAGAGCAACCCCAGAACCAAUGCCCAGAUUCAGAGGAGAUAUUUACUCAUGACCUGGAAACACUGAAUGCUGCCGAGUACCUAUCAUAAGGAAUGCCUGAAAACACCUCGUUCAUGGCUCCCUCCUGCCUCUUUCUCCUUCUCCAUGCCAAUGAGAUCAAACCAGAAUAUCCCUAAUCAUCACUAGAGGCCCUUUUCAUUAUUUUCCAGAAUGAACUGCAUGCAAAAGAAACUUCUGCACAGAGCAAUUUUCACAGGUUUAUUUUGUUCUUGUUUAUUUUGUACUUUUGUCACUAUUUUCCAUUUGCUGUAAGAGACAGAAUGUUGCCAGUUGAUUGUAUAUACCUCUCACUGUCCCCACCUUCCCAUUAAGAUAGAUUAAAAAACGGUUCCAUUGUUGUGAA